UGGUUUGGCAAGUGAUGGCUGUAACACAAUGUCCGGAGCACACAACUCCGUCACCUCACGAUUACGUGAAAUAAAUCCGGAGGUUACACACAUCAAGUGCAUUUGCCACUCGUUACAAUUAUGCAUGUCGUAUGCCAUGAAAAAACUACCUUCCCACCUUGAGUUCAUGGUAUCGCAGACAUAUAAGUAUUUUUCGAAUAGCUCUCUCCGACAGCAGAAAAAUAUGCAGAGGUGUACGCUACCAUCAAUGUGGGAGAACAGCCCCUCAAGAUGUUGUUGCAGCAGCUGUCUGACACAAGGUGGCUUGCUAUUAUUAUGCAUGUUAUUCAUGCAUAAUAUUAUUAUGCAUAUUAUUCAUAAAAUAUUGGGCUCUUUUUGGGCUCUUUUGGAGGGUGGAGUCCGCGGGUUUUGGGCUCUUUUUGGAGUAAAAGUGCGCGGGAAUACUGCCGCAGACCUGGCAACCCUGCCUGCGACCGACUCGCCUGAGUUGACAGUAAGCCACGGUGAAGGUGAGACGUACGCCGCCGUGUUCUGCCGUCCCUCCGGAUAUUCUCGGUGCCACCGCGACUCUGGCACCCCUCUGUUGGGUGUGCGUGGUGCCCCUGGCCUGACACUCCACGCGGCUGCUGUACCUAUACCGUGCUCCGGGAGGACAGCAGCGAUGCCGCCCUCUCUGUGUUAUGCUGUGUUUGGCCCACGCUGUGUUUUUCACGUGUUUCGGAAGUAAUGUGAUCGCUGAAGGAGAGAAAUGCUGGCGUGAGGAGGCGAGACGUGCUUCCAGGCAGUGAGUGGUCAGGUGUGUUGCGUGUGUGUGCCCGGCGAGCGGCGUGCACGGAGCAGCGGGGCGUGUGUUAGGCGGCGUUCCCCAGGGCGAGGAACUGAUGCCGCCGCCGCCGCUGCCACCGGCCGCUAACACGAGACGAGGGUGUCGCGGCGGCGGCGUGUCGAGGAUCGUGAUGACGGCAAGGAGGUGAGGACUACAGGAGGAGGAGGACGAGGACGAGGAUGUCGUCGCUGGUGGAGGCACUGCAGGUGUCUCCCGCCCGCAGCCGGCGUAGGAAGCCCUCCACGGCGCAGAGCCUCUACAGGGGCGUCGUCAGGAGCAAGUGUACCUGGGAAACACCGUGCAGUGCGGUUGUGUGUGUGUGUCCUCUUUUCAUUUAAACACCAGGGAACGGGACCACAGAGGCACAGGAGGUCAAUUAAGGUGAGUUUAGUAGUGACAGGUAGCAGAGGUCUGGCUUCAACCUACGACACUACCUGGAAAACACUGGAAAUACCUGGAAGAUACUUGAUACUUAAUAGCAAAAGGGGAGAAGAGAAGAGAGAAUAUAAUGCUAUUUAUCAUGGAAUAGAGGCGGACACACAUACACACACACACACACACACACACAGACACACACACAUAGAUAUAUACACACACACACACACACACACACAUAUAUACACACACACGCAUACACACAGCUGAAAUUAAUCCAGAAAACAGAGAAAUAACCUUCAUAACAACCACAAAUAAUACGGAAAGAGAGAUAGCCAACCUUAUUUUCAUCUGAGCCCCCUCCCAGCCCUCCCGCGGCCGCCAUGAUGGAUUGCCAGAGUCUACCCUCGGUUCCAAUAUUCCUUCUAUUUUCUUAACUUAUAUAUUUAGGCUUUUUAACUAAGAUUUUAUGGUUUGUAAAAAUAUUUGGUGGUGUUUUGAGUGUUUUGCGUGCGAGUGUUAAGGGAAACAUGUCGAUUAUGAGGUUGUUUCAGCGUAAAUAAGUGUUGCUGUUUGCCGUUAAAUUUUUCAUACCGCCAAACAUAAUUUUUUAUUUCAGCCGCUAGGCAAGAUUUUAUGGGCUCAAAAAAUCGUUUAUUGUUUUUUAAAUAUGUUAUGAUGCUUUUGAGUGAAAUAGGUGGACUUUUAGAGGGGUUUUAGACCCGUUGAAAACUCAAAAAGUCGACAUUUAUAAAUUAUUUAUUUAUUUAUUUCAGCUUCCGGUUAACUUCUGAUUGUUUGUAAAAAUAGUUUCGAUUUUUUAAAGUGUAUUGUGUUCGUGAGAAAUGAGAUUUGUGGACUUUGGAGUGUUUUUUUUUAUCGUGUUUGUUCGAACACUUUUUCAUAUAGUUAUUUAAAUAUAGCUUUAUUAUUACUGAAGCUUGGAAUAUUUUUAUAUGUCCAAAAUAUAUUUAAAAUUAUGCCCUUUCAUAAUAUGUAAAGCAUUCCGGCCUAGCUCCAUUUUUGCGAGGGGUCAUUUUCAAAAUCAUUUGCGUAACGUAAAUAUGGCGGACGUGACGUCAUCAGCUGCCUUCAUCCGGGGACCGAGACCCUGGACCUUCCCACCGCCCAAUGCCCUUCCAUCAGUGUUUAGUGUUAUUUCCUAUAUUUUCCAGCUGUUUUCAUGCAUAGAGAAGAAUAGAAAGAGGAGGAAAAAAGGAGAAAUGAAGAAGGAGGAGGAAGAAGAAGGAAGGGAAGGAGGAAGAGGAGAAGGAAAAGAAGAAAUAUUAAGAAAAGAUUUUCACUGAAUUUCCAGCGUUUUAAAAGGUGUACAAGGUGCUGGCUUUCAAGGGCUCCUCCACACCUACAGACACACGCACACACCACCAGAUACAGGAAGCUGUGGACCUCUGGGUAUGGACGCUGUGGGCAGCUUGGUCACGGCACGACAGAUAAUUGCCCCAUUCCUCGCACUGUGCUUGACCUGUGUGGCUCAGAGGUCGGCCAGGUCGCCUGCGGGAGAGGUCAUACCCUGGUCUACAUCCCCUCGCAGGGCCACGUGUAUGCAUUUGACCAGGGGCUCUCAGGGCAGCCGGGCACCAAGACUCCACACAGCAGGGAAUUACCUCAAGUGGUAGUGUGCCCAUGGCUGUCCCCAGGGGUGCCAGCCUGCUAGACUAUGCAGAGGAGGACAGCCCCAGUGUGUGUUUGAGGCAGAUCUUCGCUGGGGGGGACGUCAGCAUGGCCACCGUCAGCAGGGAGAGUGGGGGUGCUGAGGACUUUUGCAGCCCUCCCCUACCCCGACCAAAUGCCCUCUCUCUCACAAUUCAAGAACAUAUGAUUAAGAAACUUCUGUCAAUUGAGGAAGAAGACAUGAUUGAUGACGAUUUGUUUACGUUCGUACUGGCAUUCAAAACGUGGCCAAGAGUCUUCCUUCGCAUCCCCCAGCCAGGACGCCUUACGCUGUUAUGUCCUUCCCCUGUACAAGGACUUCACUGACCCUAAACAAACGGCCAAACUCCAAACGCCGUAUGCUGAGGGAGUGUUGAAGCUUGACAAGGAGAUGGCGGAGGUGUUCAGGACUUUACACUAAGGCUGGUUACUUUGUACAAGAAUGUGGUGGUACAAAUACUGAAUUCAGCUCACCAAUGUAGCUCUGAGAGACCGGCGUGCCCUUGUGUCUUCCCUGCGGCUGUUGUCCCUGGUCCACGGUCUGAACUUCCAAGCCGGCUGCCGAGUGGGGCGGUUGAACUACGACGACUUUUACAUCCCAGAAAUUGCUAUUAGAAAAUUGAUAUUAGGAAUGAUUACUUGAACUGGAUGAACAGCAGGCUUCACCCGAUGUCCAGGAGGGAGAGUCCAAUCCUGUUCUGUGAGUAUCCAUUCUUGUUCGACCCUCAGGCCAAGAUGCUGCUGCUCAGGUGUGACGCCACUCGGCAGGGCGAAUGUUUCCCAGACCACCCGGUCAUACGCACGUUCUGGGAAGUAUUUCACA